rnacentral:lncRNA from 1 species
GUGGACUUUUAGCAAGCGGGCUCACUGGAAGAGACUGAACCUGGCAUGGAAUUCCUGAAGAUGUUUGGGGUUUUUUUCUUUCUUAAUCGAAAGUUAACAUUGUCUGAAAAGUUUUGUUAGAACUACUGCGGAACCUCAAAAUCAGUAGAUUUGGAAGUGAUUCAAAGCUAAACUUUUUCCUUGGCCCUCCUUGUGUUCUAAUUGCUUGCAAGUGUAAUACUAGGAUGUCCAAGAUGCCAGUUUUUGCUUCUUUGUUAGUUGUCAGCUGCUUUUAUCAAAUUUCAGGCCAUUAUCCAACAAACACUAUAAAAAUGUUUGAACAAUUGGAUUUCAAACAUUUUCGUUUUGUGGAGUGGUGCUCACCAAGUGGUACAGCCCUAAGCAAGUGAACACAAACACAUUUAAGUGUAUUUUGUCUGAUUAGAUGUUAGCCAGUUAUGCUAUUUCAUUCAAAUGUCUGAAAAAAUCAAUUGACUAUUCCCUUUUCCUAAAGGGCAGAGACAGAUAAUCUCACUUCCAGAGAAAUGACUUGGAGAAAAAAAAGUGUUGGUCUUUUUGCUCUUUUGUAAUUAAAUCCGGAUGUACCUCAAAAGACUUAAGACUGUGGUGAUAAGAUGCUUUCCUCAGCAGAAAGGAGGGAAAAAAAACAACUGGAACUCAAAGCUUGAAAUUCUGUGGCAAAACAUGAGAUGUCCAGGAUUGGAGGUUGAAAAGAUUUCACUACAGUGUUCUGCAAUAGUUGGAGCAGAUAACUUUCAGUGUAGCCACAGCCAUGGACUCCAGAUUUCCAGAUUUUCAAGACCUGGACCUGGAACCCGAAAGAGCUUGUCACGAUGCGGCAGGAACACUGGAGGUAGAUUUUUUUUUAUUUUUGAAUUUUGGGACUGUUGACCUUGCUGUGAGAAAAGAGACAACGACUGAGCAAGCACUACCACCAGCACUGUUACUGGGAAUUAGAAGACCUGAGUUUCUGUCCAGACCCUCAGUGCAAACUGAGGAUGCUCCAUCCAAAGUGAAUUAUGUCCUGUGCCUCCUGAUUGCUGAGUGUUCACCUGGACCUUCUGACUACCUUCCCUGUGCUAUUCCAUCAGCCUACAGACCUGGUACCUGGAUUUUUGCCCGAGAUGAUUCCUACCACCUUACUACUGACGAAGACACCCAUUCCAGUGGACCACUGUGACCCAGGAGGCAUUCAGCCAUCAUGAUGUGGCCUUUACCUCCACUCCUGUCUUGUUCUACCCAGAUUCAGCACAGCCCUUUAUAGUGAAGUCAGAGUCCUCAAGCCAAAUAGCUAAAGCUGUUUUAUCACAACAAAGGCCUAGUUUGUUCCAUGAGUGUGCAUUUCAUUUCUUCAGUUAAAGCCUUCAGAGACACACAAUAAAUUUGGACCAGGGGAUUUUUUAGUUAUUAAUGCUCUCUGAAGAAAGGCAACAUCUUUUUGAGAGCAGCAUUGGACCACACCCCACAAUCUCAAAUGAUUGAAAUUCAUGAACAUCUAGGAUCCCGUGAAGGUCACUGGACCCUGUUUUUUCUACUUCAAAUCCUGUAGUAGCCUACUGAAUGAGAAAACAUAUUCUGACCCAUUGGGAUCAAAUCAAAGGCACAGUGAACUCCUCAUAGCAUCUUCUUUGGAAUUACUCAGGAACCAGAACUUUUUACACAAAUGUAAGAAAUUCUACCAAGGAGUCCCCUUACCUAACAGCAUCUCACAAGGCUGCACCAGAUUCCAGAAAAGGCUUCUCUUGAUACAUCAAGGUAGAACCUCUAUGGUAAAUCCCUCUGUUUAUAAUGCACUUUACAGUUUCAAAGCACUUGUACGUACAUUUAUCUCAAUUAUCAAAAUAACAGUGAAUUAUAAUCCCUUUUUGGAAAUGAGGGAAUGUAAAUUUUAAAAGUUAAGCAAUUAUCCAAGGUGACACAGCUGUGAAAGUGGUAGAGGCCAGGCUUUCUGACACCCAGUCCAGUACUCUCCUUGGAAUUAGCCUCCAUUUUACCCACAGUGUUAAAAUGGCUGGGUAUUGGGAACCUCAGGAAAUUUUCCAGCUUCCUGAUCUGGUGCCCCUAGUCACAUAGGAUGUGUGAUCACGUGAUAGCUACAUCUGGACCAGAAUCCCAUGGCAAUAUCCCACGGUUUAAGGGCAUAAUAUCUCCGUGGUGGUAGAUUGUCAAGUCAAAAACGGGACAUGUUCUAACAGCAAAGCUACCCAAUAUGAAACACAAAGCUACUUUUAGAUUUUUUAAGACUUACUGAUAUUCCUGGGCCCUAAGAGCUUGUCUAUGGUCCUAUCUUUGCAAACUAGUAUUUACACAAAAUGAGCCACCUGGUUUUUUUAAAGUCAGUAUUGUGUGUGUGUGUGUAAAUAUGACAUGGAGAAAGCUUCUGUUACCUAGUAAGAUAGUAAAGUAUGUAAGACAUGGCCCUUCCCCCAGUCUACAUUGAGGUAUAGUGUAUUAAAGGAUCUCAGGAGACUUGCAGCAAAUUACUACUGCUUCUGUGCUUAAAUUCAGAAGUCUGAAAAAAAAAAAAAAAGACUUCUAGUAAAGAGUUCCAUUUUGCUGUUUAACCCUUUGUGUCCUAAGUUUAAUCAAACACAGAAGGAUAUUUUUUUGCAUCAUUCCAUCUAAUGGAAUGCAGAAACUGCUCUAGAGCAGUAUAACCAGUGCUUCCUGAUUGCCAGCAGAUUGCCCUGGACACCCCAGAAUAAACAGCAUCUUCAAAAUCCCCCUUUCUCAUACCUUCUUAUUAAUGGUUGAAUUAGUAUGUCUCUGUCAUCUGAGAGUCUUGCAUCUUGACCAUUACCUUUAUUUUCUGUCAAGGGAAUCCCUAGAAGAUGUAUGGGGAGACAUAGGAAAGGAAUGGAAGAAAGUUAAUUCACCCCAAAUUGGAUAAAUUCCAUGACAUUUAGCAAUAUACUUCUGUAUCCCUAGAAUUGUAUCAUAACUUUAGUUCAAGGACAUUGCAUCUCAGGUGGGUUAAGGAGGUUGGGAAGGGGAGAAAAGGGAUGAGGAGAUAUUUUCUUGAGAUUUAUCUCCUUGAGAUAAUGCUUGAGAAGUCAUCCAGCCAUGGACUUCUUGGAGUAAUACUUACAAAGAAUUGGAUGCAUUUUGCAUCCUUAGGCAAAAACCCCAGUGCUGUUACAACUGAAAAUCAUUAGCCUUGUUCUCUGAUAGAUACUUACAAGCCCAACUGCAGGCAAUCAAAAUUUAUAGCAGAUGAGUUCUAACUCCAUCAACCUGUAAUGUGGUCCAUCUUAGGGAAAGAAUAGGAAAACACCUUGGUUUACCACAGGCUUUGCUUACAGUUUCUGCUUUCUGUGACCUAUUUUUUGUAUUUCAGCAUUUUGUGACCGACUUAUUCUUAGAUCAUUGGUUUUCCAAAGGCUUUGUGGCCAUGAAGCCCUUUGAGUGAAAACUGUGCAGAAGCCCAGAGUAAAAGUGAAGCUGCUCUGGAUGAAGUAGUGAAGCAAGAGUAGGGGCCUGAAUCCUGCUACAACUAUCUUCCUUUACCACCGUGGUGACACCUAAGGGGACUUCCUUACAACACCUUGAACUCUUCCGAACACAGUUUGAAAACCACUGCCCCAGACAGCAAUAUGUUUGACCUGAAUGGCAUUCCAAUCUUUUCUGUACCUCCACUCAGCACAGUUCAUGUUCAGUAGAUGCUGAACAUUCUUAGAAAUACUGUGUGUGAACUUAGAAAAGUGCAAGAAGACAGGCAUGUCUUUGACCCCAGGAAUGAUCAUUUGCUGAAGAUGGUGUCAAGUGAACCUAGAUUAACAGCCCUCCACUCCAGAUGGAUAUCCAGUGAUUCCUAGAAUGGGAUAUAGCCAGAGAACAAUUCUAUGCACCCUACACUGACAGACUCCCUUAAGCAACACCAGAUGCUCUACUGGUACUUGAAGUACAUGACUUUGAAGUCUUGACCCUCCAUGAAUACCUGAAUUAUCAGCAAGCGGGUUUUGAAGCUGGUGCCUCAUUGAGGCCAUAUUAGAGCAACUUGUACAUUUGACCUCUUGUUAUCAGCCAUGGUACUCUACUUCGUGUGCAAGAGAUAACUAUGAAAGCCAAAUUCAAAUACUGGCAACAUUUCCUAAAGGGGCUCAAUAUCUAUCAUUCGUCUUCUUUUCCAAACUACACAUCACUGUAUGACUCAACCAGUAGCAGUUAUAUUGCCCCUUGGUUUUUAUUCAGUUUAACUACUGUUUCC